rnacentral:rRNA from 1 species
GAUGAACGCUGGCGGCGUGCCUAAUACAUGCAAGUCGAGCGAACAGACGAGGAGCUUGCUCCUCUGACGUUAGCGGCGGACGGGUGAGUAACACGUGGAUAACCUCCCUAUAAGACUGGGAUCACUUCGGGACACCGGAGCUAAUCCCGGAUAAUAUAUUGAACCGCAUGGUUCAAUAGUGAAAGACGGUUUUGCUGUCACUUAUAGCUGGAUCCGCGCCGCAUUAGCUAGUUGGUAAGGUAACGGCUUACCAAGGCAACGAUGCGUAGCCGACCUGAGAGGGUGAUCGGCCACACUGGAACUGAGACACGGUCCAGACUCCUACGGGAGGCAGCAGUAGGGAAGCUUCCGCAAUGGGCGAAAGCCUGACGGAGCAACGCCGCGUGAGUGAUGAAGGUCUUCGGAUCGUAAAACUCUGUUAUGAGGGAAGAACAAAUGUGUAAGUAACUAUGCACGUCUUGACGGUACCGAAUCAGAAAGCCACGGCUAACUACGUG